AUACCCCUCCACGUCCGGUUUCACGCGAUUUGGUACAUAAAAUAUCGCAACUUUUGCGAAGUUUCCGACUUUGCCAAUUCAACCCCUCAGCGAACAUUUCGCGUUUCCUGAAAAUCCGUUCGUCGGAUUUUCGAUCCGACAGCACCAUUGCGUUCAGCACGUCGGGUGCAUCGAACCUAGCAUUUUGUUUCGUCUGAUUUGGUCUCCGAUCAGCGACAAAACCUGCCCUCUCUCCAACGAAUCCACAUGUCAUAUAUAGGCCUAGGUUGAAACCCGAAAUCCGUUAAUUCAAACUCGUAUUUGAAUUCNAUCGUCAACAGAGAGUUAAGUUACACUGUCAAAAUUUCAGUCCUUACAUUAUCCCCCCCUUAAAAGAAGUUUCGUCCCCGAAACUUGACCACAUACCCAUUGAAAUCGAAAUCGGAUAUUGCUUCCACCACUAUGGUAUUACCUUUGAGUAUUGGUCAAUUACAUUUUCAUGCAUUUGGACAGAUCAAUCUCCAAGUAAGGGAGGAAUAGGACUGCAGUUCUACUCGGACAACAACGAGGGAAAAACGUACCAACCCAAAAUCUACGAACCAAACUCAUCGGAAUCAAUACCAUCCUAUAACUUGCGGACAAAGACAGUCCCGCGAUUAUCAGAUCCCAAAUCGCCAAUUCUGAGAUAAUACAUCAACACCUAGAACUUCUAGGUCCACUCAACCUUGGUCCGCACACCAGUAACCGACUCGACUACGUCGAAGGUUCACGUAGAAGAGACUCGAGUCAACACUACUUUAAUCUAGAGUCUAUUUACGUAGACUUGAAACGAAAAACUCCGACUAUCCAACAACGUCAAUCUGCUCACCACGAGCGAAUACGAAACGUCGCUCUAAGACCUGAGUCAAAACUCUCACCUUGGUGACCACAGUCUCUCAACAGUAACCACACAAUUGCCAAAACCUCCAUCAAAGGAUAGUCACAUACGACAAUCUAUAGUCAUAGGUCCAAGACCUCACUUUUCCCCUGACCAAAAAGGUCCAACCGACAAUACCAAAUACGCUAGACAAUUUGUCUUCUCAAAUGUAACCGAUACCAUUAAACCAACAUACCCACCAUGUAAGUCCAAUACUUGAUGCACAGGUCGCCAAUCGCAAAGGCGAUACAAACCAUCGGUGAUGCUCAACACCUGUCUCUACAAGACCCUGUCGCUGCCGUCCUACAAGGGACCCUAGCGAUCGAUGUUCCCAGCAACCACCCGAUUACUUGUCUCAUUGAGACCCAGGCGCACCUGUCAUCAAAUAACCAGACAAGCAAGCUAACCCAAGGUUGCACGAUAAGCCAAGUCGCAAACUUUUACGCUAUCCUAUAUGGUGACAAUCCAAGCCGACCACCAGGCUCGAGUCGCUCAACCACUAAUUCUAAACUUCAUGACUACAAACCGAGACUACUAACCCAAACAAACCUUUUAGUCGAGGAAGGCACAAUUAAAGUGCUACAAACAUCCAAACUCGAACUAGAGUCAAAAAUCCUUUAUCCGUGACGAUAAGUCCACCGUGCAAAAUCUGCAAAGGAAUAACCCAAGGCUCGCUACGUGGUCAAAGAUGACUAUCACUCGAGCUUUUUCCCACAAAACAGUCUAGAGAACACAUCGACCCAAUCCAUAAGUCCCAAACGGGAAGAUGGUAUUUCGUCCCUCUUUCAACAGUAUAUUGUCUGCAGCCAAUAUACUUAUCAAAAGAAAAGCGAAAUAUCCGAAGAUCCACUACCAACAACAAGUUGGAAGUGUGACACGUCGAAGUAUCAAGCCACCUGAUACCUCUUCACUGAACCACGAGUUCGCAACCAUUACUAUCGAAACAUCGACUUUACAAGUCGAUAUUCGAAAUCAGAACGACCCUGAACCGACUUACAGGGAGUCCUAUAACUUUCAACAUCCGAAAGCUACUAGCGACGCUAAGCCGCGAACUGAACCAACUGAGGCUUAGGAAAAGGUUUCUCUAACCGAUUUCCGUACCACAACCGAGCUAUAAUCAAAGCUCCGAGAAUUCCGUCAAUACCCUGGAAUAUCUCGAAUCAAGACGAAACCUAUAACCAACAACAAACUAACCCACAACACACCAAUUUAGGUGUUAAAAUAACCGCACACGAUGUAUGCCUUAACGAAAACUUAAUACCAAAACUGUGUCAAUUUGACUCUGGGAGGAAGAAUGAAUGAGUUCAAGGUCAAAAGAUUCGAACCGCUAAUUCCAAUCAACAAUCAAGGAGGAUGGGAAGGCAUUACAACCCCACCCAAAGAUCUGCGGAAGCAACACUAACAAUGCAGUCACCAAAACGNGAAUAGCUUAACCGUUCAAAACGAGCUAUUGGAUCGCUAUGAACGGAGUCCGAUACGCGCCGAAAGCCAGCUCUACUCCGUGGCUUCACAAAAAAAACGGAGUUACUAUUCACUUAAGUGAAAACUAAUAAUCGCGUAACUUCUCCGUUUUAGCUCAGUUUCUCCUGAAACUUGACGAGUGCUUAUGUAAUUAAAUUACACACAUAAACAUCAUCAACAGAGAGUUUAAUUGCACUGUAAAAAAAAAUCUCAGUCCUUACAUAUGAAUUAUCAGCAUAGAUGCCCUAACACUAAAUUUGAUUGAGUAUAGUAGUAUUAGUUUCUAAAUCUAUGAUAAAUAGUAGUCUAGCCAUACUCGCACUCACAAGUGUGCACAUAUUUUAAUUUAUACAUGUUCGAAAUCAAAUUGAGGAGAGUUGAAAUCAAAAUAAAUCUAAAUUAUUUGAAUUAAUUUACGACCUUGAAAAGGCCUCUAUUCAAGAUACUAUAAGUGCCAAAAACUUAUUUCUUAAGCAAUAUUGCUAAUGUCACGUGGAACAAUCAUUUUUUCUAAAAAGCUUAAGGUAUUAGAGUAAUAUCAAUUGUUUUCACAUAGUAUAUAUUUGGGAAAAUGGUUUUAAGUUCGAACCAAACCAAGAUCCUAGCUAGCCUUAAUUAAUUUUUUUUCUAUUUUAUUCAAAUUCACGUCUUGAGCUAUCCGAAAGUGUCAAGCCAAUCAAGACGUCAUGAAGGAAGUAUUAACUAUAAUAUAACAAAAGACCAUAUUUGAGUACUAUUUAUGUUUUUAGUGUAAUGGAUUAUUUCACAAAGAGUGACAAAAUUGAUCAAUAAUCUACAUUAAUUGUUCAAUGAAGGGCGCUUUUUCCAAUAAUUAAUCAUGCAAGAUAUUGGUUAAUAAGUUAGAGUUUAAUCUUUUUAAUUGUUGGUAUUAUAUCCAUACCUCUAUAAAAGUAUUAAAUUUUCAAUUUCAUGGCCUAAAUUUUCUGCUCCCUUUUUCUAAUCUGCAGUAAUAUAAAAUCGAAAACUUCUCAUUGGGAAUAUGGUAGUAGCUUAUACUAUGACUUGUACAAUCUGUAUCACAGCUUGAUUUUGAUGUUGAUGUUGUAGUGAAAUCAAGUCUUUGUGCUCUUCUCGUUAGUGGCACCUGAGUGGAUCCAAACACUUCUAGAUUGAAGCUAUUUCCUCUUCUUCAUCUUCUUCAAGGUUUGUGCUUUUUUAUUAUCGAAUUUCAAUCAAUUGUUAAUUUUAGUUAUCACUACCUACUUAUGUGUUGUUGAAAGAUCGUGCGAGGAUAUGUAAUUAUGAUUUGUCCUUUUGAUUUUGAUGUUAAACAAUGUAAUUCUUUCUAUCUUUUAUUUUAGUUUUUUUUUUCUUGAAAGUGUAGCUAUUUUGUUAUUACUAAUGUUUUAAACUUUGAACAAUUCUAAUCUUUAAGUUGUAUGUAGUAGGACCUCAAGACAUUGUCUAUACUUCGUUCUUUAUUUUCUCGCUUUCACUCUGUUGUUGUUUCUAUUUAGUAUGAUAUCAAAGUUUGGUUGUUCAUCGAAAACUUCUCAUGAUUAGUUUUGUGACAUUGGUGAAAUCUCAUUGUAUCUUAAACUUUUUAUAGAUUUUCAUAAAUUACUGCUAAUCUCUUUGUCAAUUUGCAAAAAGUUUGUCCUUUUUUAUGAAUAGAUAAAUUUCAAAUUUUGCUUCUGUAUGUUCAAAAUAGUUGUUAGGCCUUCUUAUAAUCUUUUUGAUGUGAAUGAAUUCUAAUAGUAAUCUUUCUUCUACAUUCUUAGCAAAAUAUUAAAUAACAUUGGUCAUUAUGCUAUCUCUUUGUUUAGGUAAUUUUUUGGAUUACCUUGGAUUACCUCCACCUGAUUCUAAGAAAAUGGCACCUAGUAAACGUUGGAUGGAUCUAGUUGAUGAUCGAUUAAGUGAAGCAUAUGAAAAAGGAGUUCAAAAUUUUUUGAAUUAUGCUUUUAAACGUACAGGACAAAACAAUAAAAUUCGAUGUCCUUGCGUUAAAUGUAAUAAUACAUAUUCAGAAACUCGUGAGCUAGUUGAGACGCAUUUGAAAGUCUAUGGAAUAGUUCAAAGUUAUACUUUCUGGUAUCAUCAUGGUGAAAGGUUUGGUGAGUCUCAAUCCUAGUCAGAUUAAGAUGAGGAUAACGAGGGAAUAGAAGAAGAUGAAAGUGCUGAUGAGAUGCAUGAAAUCAUAAGGGAUUUAUAUCCCGAAUUGAAUAGAAAUUUUGAGAACAAUACUACUAUAAUUGAUGAAGAUCUUGAAGAUGAACCAAACGACGGAGCAAAGUCUUUCUAUAGGUUACUCAAGGAGUCUAAUCAACCAUUAUAUGAUGGUUCCAAAUGCUCAAAAUUAUCUUUACUAAUCAAAUUGUUUCAUAUUAAGAGCCUUGGAGGAUGGAGUAAUACAUCAUUUACCAUGCUGCUUCAAUUACUAAAAGAAGAUAUUCUACCAAGUGGAACAACAUUUCCUAAUUCAUAUUAUGAGGCAAAGAAAAUUAUUGAUGAUCUUGGACUUCUUACCAAAAAAUUGAUGCAUGCAUUAACAAUUGUAUGUUAUAUUGGAAGGAGGAUGAAGAAUCUGAUGCAUGCAAAAUUUGCGGUGCUUCUAGAUGGAAGCAUGACAAAUGCAGUGGAGAAAUUAAACAAAAAGUAAAUGGUAAAAAAAUACCAUUGAAGUCAUUGCGUUAAUUUUCCAUUAAAACCUAGACUUCAAAGGUUAUUUGUUGUGGACAAUUAAUGAUUUUCCUGCUUAUGGAAAUCUAUCUGGAUGGAGUACAAAGGAAAAACUAGCAUGUCCUUGUUGCAACAAGAAUACUUUUUCUAUUAGAUUAACCAAUGGUAGCAAGCAAUGUUAUAUGGGCCAUCGACGAUAUUUGCCUAGCAAACACAAAUGGAGGAAUGAUAAAUAUUCUUUUGAUGGCACCAAGGAGCGACGUUGUGCACCAAAGCUAUUUAGCGGUGAUGAAAUCUUGGAACAAGUGCAAGAUCUUGAUGGGAUCAUCUUAACAAAAGCUGCUAAUAAAAGGGUAAAAAUAUCACACAGCAAUCGGGGUGAUAAUUGGAACAAGAAAAGUAUAUUCUUUGAACUUUCAUAUUGGAAAACCCUUUUGUUGCGUCAUAAUUUGGAUUUAAUGCAUAUUGAGAAGAAUAUAUUUGAUAAUGUACAUGGAACACUUAUGAAUAUCAAGGGAAAAACUAAGGACACAAUGAAAUCCCGUCUCGAUUUGCAAGCAAUGAAUAUAAGACCAGAGUUACAUCCAAUUCGAAAAGGGGAUAAGUUUGUUCUUCCUGCUGCCUCUUAUAUGUUAUCACCAAAUGAAAAGCACACAUUUUGCCUCUUUCUUAAGCAAUUAAGAGUUCCAGAUGGCUUCUCCUCAAAUAUAUCUCAUUGCGUAAAUCUUAAAGAACAUAAAAUUUCUGGAUUGAAAAGUUAUGAUUGUCAUAUUAUGUUGCAACGCCUACUUCCUCUUGCUCUACGUGGUCUGCUUCCUAAAGAGGUUUAUGAAUCACUUAUUGAGUUAUCUCUAUUUUUCACUGUGGUAGGCUCUAAGACACUCAAGGCAGAUGAUUUGGAUCAGAUAGAAGCUCAAAUUCCAAUAACUCUGUGUAAAUUAGAGAGAAUUUUUCCUCCUUCCUUUUUUGAUAUUAUGUUGCAUUUGCCGAUUCAUUUAGCAAAUGAAGCUAAGAUUGGAGGACCAACCCAAUAUAGGUCAAUGUACUCUAUAGAGCGGCACUUGUAUACUUUAAAAGGGUUUAUACGCAAUAGAGCUUGUCCAGAAGGUUCAAUCGCAGAAGGCCACAUUGCAAAUGAAUGUAUGACUUUUUGCUCAAGAUAUCUUCAUGGCAUUGAGACAAAAUUUAAUCGUCAUGAGCGGAAUUAUGAUGGUAAAGAUAGCACAUCUGAAGAAGGUUUAUCUAUUUUUUCUCAACUUGGAAAAGCACUAGGAGCUGGAACUCUAUAUGAUCUAGAUGCAAAUGAGCACGAGCAAGCACAACUUUAUAUUUUAAAGAAUUGUCAUGAAGUUCAACCAUUUCUCAAGUAUGAUUUCAUUGUUCAUGAACAUUACCCUUUUCUUCCUCUUUUUUUUUUUCAAUUUCUUAUGUAUAUAAUAAAUUCAUUUAUACUGUUAUGCAGAGAGUACUCACAAAUUCAUAGUAGUAGAGGAUUAGAAUUGUGUGAUAAGAACUUUAUUGAGUGGUUUAAGAUCAAGGUAAGCUCACCUUUAAUUAAUAUUUUUGUCGAUCAAUAUUAGCAAUAUAUAUAAAACGCAAUAUGUUUAAUUUAUCAUUCACUUUGUAGGUAGCGCAUCUAUGUAAGUAAGACAAAAGCUCGAUCAUUGAACACAUGCUUUCUUUGGCACGUGGUCCUACUACAUAUGUUACAUGCUAUAAUGGUUAUCUAAUAAAUGGAUAUAGGUUUCGGAUAGAAGAUCGUGACAAAGGCUUCAAGACACAAAAUUGUGGGGUGGUUGUAGUUGGUGAUACUGGUGCCGAAAUUGAAAAACAAGAUUACUAUGGGGCCUUGACGGAGGUUAUUGAAUUACAAUAUGUUGAAGGUCAUCGAGUAGUAUUAUUCCGAUGUAGUUGGUAUGAUGUAUAUGAUAAAGAAAAAGGAAUCAAAACAGAUGAAUAUGGGAUUGUUAGCGUUAAUCGUCAAAGAUUGUUGAAAACAAAUGAGCCCUUCGUAUUAGCUAAUCAAGCAUCACAAGUGUUCUAUGCUACCGACAAUAUUAAUAAAGGAUGGCAUGUUGUGUAGAAGACUCAACCUCGUGACUUAUAUGAAAUGCCACUGCAAAUGGAUUCAGAUUCUGAAGAUGUUCAAGAUGGAAUUGAUGCAUAUCAGGAAUAUGAAUCAUUCCCUCCUAUCAAUAAUUUAUCCACUUCACUAAACAUGGAUAAUGAAAUCAGCAGGAAUAGAAAUGAUAUAGAGCCAAUGAUGGUUGAUGCAGUUUCCACACAAAAGAAGAGAAAACGAAGAUCAUAAAAGAAUAAAUGCAUAUUUGUUGAUUAUGAAGACAUGAUGGUUUUGUAUAUGACUUUUUUUUGUUUAUAUGUAGAUAUAUUUAUUUUGCUUGUGAGUUUAAUUUAAUUUUGGAUGAAUUGUUCACUAUUAUAUUUUAAUAAUGAACUAAAAUUUUUUGUAAUAUGUACAGGAUGCAGCUGCCAAAAUCACGAAACGGGAAUGAUUCUAGUUCUAGAGGAGACAAGCUUACGUUUAUACCACCAGGUGCAUUGGGUAAGGGGCGCGCACAAUUUGUGUCACGCCCCGGGGUCCCUUUCGGUUUAAGAGAUAGCUGAAAAGCGUCUGAAAUUUUUUUUUUUUUGAAAACCCGACCCCAGAGUAUGUCAGAUCCGCCACAAAUAUAGGAGAUCCACUAUUCACACGGACAGAGUCUCCCCUGUAUUUGCACGGCGUUGCACAAGUACAAGAAUACAACCAGGAUACAACCACAGCUAGAUGAAUAUAAAGAUUACUAUACAUUCAUACAUUCACCAUUCACAUCACAGUUUUACAUUCAAUGUUAAAACAGAAAUCCAUGAAAAAUCCUUUUGAAAAUUGUUUCCUACACGGAAACCUUUAUUCUUUAAAAACGCUACCACGAGGGGUAGAAAACCUUUUAUUACAUUCAUGAAAAUCCACAUAUUCAAAUGUAAUAAAAAUACUGAACCAUAUAAACUAUCUAAGCUAUAUAUCAACAGAAAUAAAAAGGGUAAGAGCUAAACCGAACGACCUGGGUCGGAAGAUCUAUCGAUCGCUACGUACGUGUCUCACGUCCUGUCUGAACCUCACCGCCUGCAAUACCUGAAAAAUGGUGGGGGAGGUGAGAACAUGUAAACAUGUCUCCCCUCCCAGUGGGUACCGCAAGCCGAUGAAGGCGAGGAGUACUCACCGGAUCAGGAAGAGAUAAACAACAAUAUGGGUAAGUGGAAAUAUAACAGCAACAACAAUAAACGAAAGAGAUAUGUAAGGUAAUGAGCAGAUAAACCGAAUACAGUAGCACUAAACUGAAAGAAAGUAAGAACUAGACUGAAUAACGGCUACCGCUACUGUAACUGAAAUCGAAAGCAUACAUGAAUAUCUACUAUAGUAGCAAGACAACUAUAAAGUAAGAACUGUAAAUAUGCAUGCAACGACUGCUACUAUAGAUAUAUGCGUCAACUGACGAUAACCUCAAAAGUACCCAAUCUCGCUGCCCUAUUGGUCCGAAGACCUCAGGCCCAUGCCACACUGCUCAACCUGUACCUGACCCUCGCAAUGAAGCCCCUGGGUCAGAAGCACGGUACCUGACCCUCGCAAUGAAGCCCCUGGGUCAGAAGCAUAUACCCUCGCAAUAAAGCCCCUGGGCUCACGGGUUGGCAAUCCAACCACUUUUCCGGAAAAGAACACCCUCUUGCGGUGGAUCAGACCGCUGGUGUUCGUGAAAUGCGUACCUGUAGUGGCGAUCAAUGUAGUAUGCUCAAAGAUCUUCCAUCGGCAACUAGCCGACAAUCCAGCCCCUCAGGGCACAUCGACCGUAUAGGUCAUAGAUAUCAAAAUAGGGGAACCGCCCAACCAAAUCACAGAUAUAGUGAACAGAUAAGUCAACUCUACUUCUAAGCAUGAUAUCGACAUGGAAAUAACUGAGUAGAGGAAUGCAGAUAUAAAUGCAGGUGCAAGGUUCAAUAUAUACUCUGCAAUAAUAACAACAGAAGAGUAAGGGUAAGAAACCCGUAUCGGUCAUCAACUGUACGGAAGCAUAAGAACUGACCACUCAGGUCAACUAGGAUGGAACGACUCUACAUCCUCGCAACUAUAUGCAAGUACUGACUAAUCAAGUCAACUGGGAUGGAACAACUCAACAUCCUACCAAAAGUUUGUAGAUACUGAUCAUUAGGUCAACUACCGUAUAUAAGCAAGAAUCGACCAACAAGUCAUCUGAGUAUAUAAUCUAGAACUACCGUCGGCCACUAGCCGACAAUCCGACCCCUCAGGGUACACCGACCUCAAAGGUCAUCAAACGACAGACAUCAAGGAACCGACCGACUAGGUCACCGAUCUCACAAGAAAUCACGAAACCGCUCUACUCUAAACGUGAAACAGGAUAUGCAGAAUAGCUAAGUAGAGCAACAAUGAAACAUGGUAUCACAUACAGAUAGACUAUACUCCUACGCACGAUACUAAGCAUGGAAACGUUUAAGUAGAGUAUAAUCAAACAACGUUGGUGUAAUGUAAACAAUAGAGGUGCAAAGCUCAACAUAUAACAUAUGCAUGGAUAAUAACAAAAGAGCAAGGGUAAGAAGCCAUCACCAAGCGUGCACCACUGUACCAACGUCGGAUCGAAGUACCCACCUGUAAGGAUGUCGCGUCUGUCUCCGGACUGCAAAAGAAUGUCAACCAGACCUAUAGAGGGUCCACCGGGUUAGUAUCUAACCCACAACUAAUAACCACAGUAUCCAUAACCCACAAACAAACCCACGGAGAUUGGUUUUCCAGUACCGAUUGCCAUAACUCGCCGGAAGUCCCGAAAGUGUCUAUUUCGUCAUCGGAACCCACAAUCGCUCACCCGGCAUCACCGAACCCCCACGGUGAUGAUGGUGACCAACCAACAAGGCUUAGCGGCUACUUACAGAGCGACCAUACGACGUCGGAAGAAAUCCGAGCCGAAACCGCGUUCUUUCGGCGAAUUUCGCCGCAAAACGCACCGAAAUCGACUCCUCGAUUUCCGCAAAGGCUAAGGGAUCAUGGACAAUCAGUUGAGAGGUCAAUACAAACUCCCACACACUGCCCACAGUAGCCACGCAAAGCACAAUUGCAUAAAAGACCCUCUAAUUACAUAAAAUCUCAUCAUUUUAUGUAAUUUGAGCGAUCAAGCGGCUCGUUCACGCAAACCGAGGACUUCCGAAGUCCGCAGAUGCACGUACUGACAGGUCUUGACGUAUCGGAGUCCGUGCUCACAAUCCGGAGCACAGCGGCUCGCUGUGGGAAGCGCGGGAGCAACCCGAAGGUUCAGCGAAUAGCGCGCAGUUAGGGAAGAUCGCGCCGAACAGAACUAACCGGACACUUCUGAUCCAAGGGAAGGUGAGCAUUGUGAUCAGCACUGACCAGCGGUCACCGUGCUCACCUCCGGAGGCAUCUGAACAGCCUCGGAUCGCCGGAUAAGCGUGCACAAUCAUAGAACAACAGCCAAAAAGGCUCCAAAGGGUCGACACCGCAAAAAUAGCGGAACAGAGUCUCCCCGACAGAAACUAAGGUGAGCACGAUGAUCAGAAACUUGCCAGGAUCAUCGUGCUCCCUUCCGUAGAGAUCGGGGAAGCUCGGGAAGCCCAGAACAAGAAACCCACUCAAAUAAGCCCUAUUUCGGGCUUGGCCGGAGCAACUUUGCUCCGGCCGGCCUCCGGCGGCACGGCGGCGCGCGCGGAGCCCUGAGUCGGGUGAGAGGGAGGUGAGGAACUCCGUGCUCACCUCGGUUGGCGACGAGAAGCGGCAGUGGCAACGGCGGAGCAAGCUCGCCCCGCAAGAGCUAGGGCACGGACUCCAAGGAAGCUGCGGCCACGGCGGCGACUGGGGAAGGUCGGGGACGACGACUGCGGGUCUCCAAGGGCCGGAGGAGGAGGAAGGAGGUGGCCUCGAGCGGCGGCGGCGCAGGAAAGUGGUCGCAAACAAGAUCGACCUGCGCUCGGGCUGGGGCGGCCGCGGCUGGCCGAGGCGGCGAAGGCGGCGCGCCGGGGCGGCGGCGACCGGCGGGAAGGGGCGCCCGGGCACGGAGGGUGUCGGCGGGAGGGUUUCCAGGCGGCGGCGGUGCAGGAGGGAGGUCCCAAGUGGGUCACGGCCAGGGCUCGGUCUGGGCUGGCAGAUGUGGCCCGGGGCGGCAGCGGCGGCGCAGGCGAUGGCGGCUGUCGGCGGGGAAGGUCGCCGGAGCACGGGGCGACACCGAGGGAGGGACCGAAGGUGGCAGCAGUCUCGGGCCUUCACACAACCCGAGAGGAGAGAGGAAGAGAGAAAGAGAGGGAAGAAAAUGGAGAGUGGUGGCUGCCGCGUGGUUGGCCGGCCGGGGCUCGAUCGGCGGCGGCCAGGGCACGCGCAGCAAGUGCAGGGAAGAGGUAGGAGGCGGCUAGGGGGCUAGGGCAAGGCUAGGGUUAGGGUUGAGUGGCUCCAAACCCUAAAGAGCCUAAAAAAGUAAGGUGCAACAUGCAAAAAGGUCCCCCAAACAUCAGAAUUACAAUCCGAGUCCCUCACAGUACGAUUAAAAUGCAUGAACGCCCCUCCACGUGCGAUCCCACGUGAAACGGUACAUAAAAUAUCGCGACUUUUGCGAAAAUACUGUUUUGCCCACACCGACCUCUCCUCGAUCAACGUGCGAUCUCCGUAGAUCCGUCCGUCAGAUUUGCAAACGGAUUGCACCAGUGCGAUCAGCACCUCGGAGACAACAAAGCUACGAUUUUGGUUCACCUCGAUCGACCACGGAUUCGCGACAAAAUCCAACCUUUCAUUCCAACAGAAUGAAUAACACAAAAAUACAUAUAAAACAUGUAUUUUUGGAUUUUCUCGAAAUCCGUGCGUCAAACUCAAAAUCCGUCUGCGCCAUUAGUUCCAGAACAGCUGAACCGGUCGAAACGAGCUAUUGGACCGCUAGGAACGGAGUCCGAUACGAGCCUGAAGCCAACUUCACACCGUGGAUUCUCCGAAAAAUCGAGUUACUAUUCACUUUAAGUGAAACUUGGAAAUCGCGUAGAAUCUCCGUUUUAACUCAUUUUCACCCGAAACUUGACGAGUACUACUGUAAUUAAAUUACACACAAAAACAUCAUCAACUGAGAGUUUAGCUACACUGCAAAAAUCUCAGUCUUUACAAUUUGGUUUAAGGUCUUUCUAUUCCUUACGACCAUCGACAUCACAAAGUGUAGGGGCUACUACUACACCGUCGCUUGAUACUCCUAUUAUGCAAUCAAACGAUAUCUCACUCUCUCAAGAUUUUGAGCCUAUGGAAGAAACACAUAUUGGAGAAGAAUCGAGGGAAGCUGGUAUAACUUCUCACCUUUUCUUUUUACAUAUAUGUUUAUCUUUAUGCGUUUAUUUAAUCUUUAUGCGUUUAUAUCUACUACAUCAUCGGAAGCAUCUAUCUUUAUGCAUUAAUGUAUAAUGACUAUUACUAAUGCUUAUUUUUACUCUUUUUUUUUUCUAUUCUUAGAUUCUACAAGUGUUUCAAAGAAGAGAAAGGUGCGAGGUAGAAACAAGUGUAAGGAAGUCGCAAAGUUGAAAAGUGAAAAAAAAUUGAAAGUGAAAUUCUAUAAUAAGCGCGUUGUUGGAAAGAAUCAUAGGGUAUUUUCGAGGCAUCUAGGAAGAAUUGUACGUGAUCACAAUAUUUGUCCACUUCGUGUGCACUCAUGGAAGGAGAUUGGGGAUGAAGAAAAGGAACAUAUGUGGGCUGCGGUGACGGUAAAACUAUUUAACUUAAUAUCAAUUUCAGUUGAUCAUAAAAUUAUCCCACCACAUUAUAAGUUUUCAAUUGCCGUAUUAUUAGUAAAAGUUUCAAUUUGGAGCUUUUAUUUUGUUUGAUUGGAAUUUACUAGUAACUUGCUUGUAUGCUGAAGUAACAUAUAAGUUUGGAUUUACAAUUAUAUGUUUACAAACUUAUAUACAUAUGAUUUCAACUUGAAGGAUAAAUUUAAGAAUCCAAACAUGGAGGAUUUUCGUGAAGAUAUCCUAGUGCAUAUGAAUGAUUUGUGGAACAAAUGGAGAGGAGAUUUGCAUCGCAAAUAUAUAAAACCAUGUAGCACUAUACAAGGGACUCUAAGAAAUAUUCCUGAAGAUAUUGAUCGAGAGGAUUGGGAGUGGUUAGUAAAGGAACAUUUCUCAAGUAAAAAGUUUUUGGUUUGUUUUUUUUCUUCUUUUUUUGUCUUUUUUUGUAUUAGAUGAAUUAAGGUAUAAGCUAUUUAUCCUAAAAGAACCUUUUCUUAUACAAUUUGUUUUUAUUUUGAAUUUUUUUUCUUCUAUAUAAAUAUAGGCAGCAAGUAAACGAAACUCCAGCAAUAGGGCAAAGUUAACAAUGCCUCAUCGUACAGGUAGUAAGCCAAUUCGACAAGUUAUUUGGAAGAAGGUAAUGAAAAGUUAACAUUAUACUUUUUUGACAUUUUAAUUUUUGUAUCGAUAAAUAUUAUUUGAGUUUGAUUUAUAUUUACAAAAGGGAGGCAAAGUCGGUCAACCACCAAGCUUAGCAACUAUAUUUUUUGAGACUCGGAAAAAAGGUGACAAGUUAGUUGGUGAAGACACUAGCAAGCAAUAUGUAUGUGGAAUAUAUUUCUGAUUUUAGUUUUAUCACCUUUAAUGCAUUAUCAACUUACUAUUUUUUUUUUUCUUGAAGGAUAAAAUUGUUGAUGCUACUCAAUCAGAACCCUCCUUAUCCAAUAUAGAGUUAGUUGAAAAAUGUUUUGGACCACAACGUCAUAACCAUAUUAUUUGCCAUGGUGGUGGCUUAAAGCCUAAUGACAUGAAGACUAUUGGAACUAGAGCUGAGCUUCAAGCUAAGCUUCGUGAAACUCAAAAAGAAAAUGAUUCGCUUAAGAGUCGUAUGGAUGAAAUGGAAGCCGAAAUAAGAAUGAUUAAGGAAAUGUUUCAACGCCAACAUUCCAAUGGUCCACCGCCUUCUUCAUCCGAAGGAUAAACAAUGUAAUCUUAUUUAGAUUAAUUUGUAUAAUUUCUGCAUAUUUAUAUUGGUAUACAAAGGUUGUUUUAGAUUUUAUGAGUUGUUUAUUUGCUUUAUUAUUUUGCUAUCUAUUUGCAUGACUUACUUUUACAUUGUUUUUCCUCUUUUCUUUUGUAGGUAGUUCAUGGCGAUUUUUGGAACAAGAAAAGACGAUGAAUUGCAAGCUCUCUUUUUUGUUUUUAAGCUAACAUUUUUUUGGAAACAUGGUGAUAGUCGUUGAUUUCAGUACUUUGUUUCUUUUUUUAGUAAAUGUUGACUAUAUAUGUAAUGGUGUGAUGAAAACUAUAUAUGUUGUGAUGGAAACUAUAUCUACUAGAUGAAUGUUUUGGAGAAAAAUAUGAAUAUUGUGGAUGCUAAGUACUUUUAUUGUUAAUGAAGUUUUAUUACAUGUUUAAAAAUUGUGGAUUUGAUGUAAGUUUAUUUAUAUAUAUGUGUGCGUGUGUGUAUGUAUUUAUAUCAUUGUGUAUGCAAAGUAAUUAUGUGCAUGGUUAAAAAUAAUAAAUGGUCAAAAAUAAAUUAUGAUGAAAUGCAAUAUUUGUCUUAUUAACGACGGGAAGAGUGGUCGUUGUUAUAUUAUUCUCGUCUACUUUGCAUGAAAUGCUUUUAACGACGAAAAACUUUUGGUCGUUAUUAACACUAUGAAUAGGAUAAUUGUAGUUUUUGUGAUCUCUAUUACGACGGUAGAAUUGGUCGUUAUUGUAAAAUGGAGUGGUUACUAAUGUAACUAAAUAAUGAUGACAAAAGAUGUGGUUGUGAGUAAUCUAUAACGACUAGCGAUUCAUUUGGUCGUAACUAGUUUUAACGAAGGAAGCUUUUACGACGGGUCACGACGGGAGAACUGUUCAUCGUUAUUGACUUUUAACGACGGAAAUUCGGGCAUAUAACGACGGUUUCUCCUUUCGUUAAAUAAGGUAUUUCCUGGGUAUCUAACGAUGACAGAAGAUUCUGCAUGAUUACUACAACAACAGGCGUGGAGAACGUCAUGGCCGAUGGGACUACCAGGACAGACCAUUCGGCUCCAAGCAAAGGUUUCCUCGGUAUCGGCCACAUUGGCAAUAACAAGCUAGGCCGAGACCAGAACCAGAAUUUGAAGGAAUGACCGAGGGAGACAUAAAAUUCCUCGGUCGAAGGCUAGUCAACGAACUCGGCAUUCAGCCCUGGCCGAGACCAUGGGAAAGAAGAGAAAUUCUAAAAAAUCAUUUAAGAACGGUAAAAGUACCGGCAAACGUGCUAGUGGACGAAUGGCACGAAGUCAAAGUUAAACCAUCGGCCAGAUGGCAGGGGCCGAUGUUAACAAAAACUCAGAAACGUCGGCAGCAGAGGAUGCAAGCCGAGGCAAGACAAAAUUAUGAAGAGGCGAAAGGGAUGAGGCUCAAUAUAUGGAGAUGCCCUGAUGAGCGACUGCACCCUUUUCGUCCGAUGAGAAAUGAUCAUGAGGCAGGCGGCUCAUCACCUGCCCAUCAGUUGAAGUCAAGAAUAGAACGGCCAACCGAGGCCGAGGUAGAAGAAAAAAUGACCAGGAGGGAGUUAGAAGAUAAAAUAGCUUCCUUCGAGACAAUGAUCAAGAGAGAAAGGUGGCCUCCUAAAGAGAGGGAGGUCCGUAUGGAGAGCGACUCUUCAGCCGAAACGGCCAAGGAGUCAGAAGAGAAGAAGCAGAGAAUCAAAGGGAAAUCGGCUGAUGAAUCACCGGCCGAGGUGAAUAUGGUGUACGCUCUACCUCAAUCUUUCAAAGCAGAAUUUGUUGAGUACGAGGAGUUCAGAGAAGAAGAAGAAAAUGGGCUUACAGUGGCCCAAUUGCAGCUAGAGGAUGUUCGACAGGCUGAUGCAGUGGUUUUUGAGAAACCAUCGACAAUGCAGGCGAGGUUCAUAAGGCCUCUUUUUAUAAAAGCUUUAAUAGAAGGUCGGCCGGUAGGCCGAGUUAUGGUAGACGGCGGCGCUAUGGUCAAUGUGAUGCCCACUUUCUUUUUCAAGAAGCUGGGCAAAGAUGAAGAUGAUUUGAAGCCCACCGAUUCAAUCAUGACCGAUUUCACAGGAAACGGUCAACAAGCUCGAGAAGUGCUCACCACCGAACUCACGGUAGGUUCAAAAACUUUAAAAACUGUGUUUUUUGUAGUGGAUGCAGAUAGCCACGACAACUUGCUAUUGGGAAGAGAUUGGAUACACUCGAAUCAAGGCGUGCCCUCUACACUCCACGGAAAACUGUUCCAGUGGAUAGGAGACAAGGUAGAAGAAGUCCGGGCCGAAGGACGGCCUCAAAUGAUAAAUGUCAACAUGGAGGACAUCGGCCACACCAAUUGGGCCGAUGCUGAUCCAGAUCACAUUUCGUUUGUGAGAGUAAUAGAGGAGGGGAUUCAAUUAAUUCUCUACAAAGAUAUCAACGCUAUGGUGGCUGAUGAAGAGCCACCUAGAUGGUUAAAAUGGAGUCCGAAAAAUCGAGCAUAGAGGCUUGGCACAAGCCUCGACAGAAUGAGCCGAUCAACAAGAUCGGCUAUGAGGAUGAUUCGGCUGCCAAAGCCGAUGUGUUGGCACCUGAUGAUUCGGCCAAUAAGGCCGAAGGAAUCAUAAAAGACUCGGUUCAUAAAGCCAAGAAAGAAGAUCAAACGAAAUCGGUCAUGAAGACCGACAAAUCAUAUGAAAUGAAUAGGCAAACAGCGGAAAUGAAGCUAGAAGAAUCACCUAUUAAAAUCGACGAGAAAAAGCUGGAGACCCAGGAUUUGUUGAUAGAGGUAAACCUGGGGUCAGAUGAAGACAACAGGCCGACGUUUAUAAGUUCCAAACUGUCGGCUCAGCAACAGGAAGAAUUAAAGAAGCUGUUAAAGAAGUACAAGUAUUGCUUCGCCUGGAGCUAUGAAGAAAUGUCGUGUUUAAGUCGAGAGAUUGUAGAGCAUCGGCUGCCCAUCAAAAAAGGGUUCAAGCCUUUUAAACAACCGGCUCGUAGAUUUGAGCCAAGUAUUGUACUCCAAAUUAAAAAUGAGAUUGAAAAUCUUUUAAAGGCUAGAUUUAUUAGAGCGGCCCGUUUUAUUGAUUGGGUGUCUAAUAUAGUUCUAGUGCGUAAAAAGAAUGGCAAACUUAGAGUUUGUAUCGAUUUUAGAAACUUGAAUUUAGCUACACCUAAAGACGAAUAUCCAAUGCCAAUAGCCGAUAUGUUAGUAGAUUCGGCUGCUGGUAAUGAAAUUCUGUCCUUUAUGGAUGGACAUGCUGGUUAUAAUCAAAUUUACAUUGCUGAGGAAGAUGUGGCUAAAACGGCUUUUAGAUGCCCCGGUUCAAUUGGAACCAUUGAAUGGGUUGUUAUGCCGUUUGGCUUAAAGAAUGCCGGAGCUACUUACCAAAGAGCAAUGAAUUUUAUUUUCCAUGACUUAAUCGGCAAAAUGUUGGAAGUAUAUAUCGAUGAUAUAGUUAUCAAAUCCAAGUCACAAGCCGAACAUUGGGUUAAUUUAAGGCUCGCCUUUGAAAGAAUGAGAAAAUAUAAUUUGAAAAUGAACCCUUUGAAAUGCGCUUUUGGAGUUUCAACAGGAAACUUUUUAGAAUUUUUAGUGCAUAAGAAAUGGAUCGAAAUUGAUAAAAAUAAGGCGAAAGCAAAUUAGAAUUACCGCCGCCAAAAAGCAAAAAAGAAUUAUAGAGUUUGAUGGGGAAGAUUAAUUAUCUUCGGCGGUUCAUAUCCAAUUUGGCCGAAAGAACUGAGGUUUUUACUCCAUUACCUCGGCUUAAAGACAAAGAAGAAUUCAUUUGGAUGGAGAGACAGCAAAAGGCGUUUGAGAAUAUAAAAAGAUAUUUAUCAAACCCUCCGGUACUGGUACCUCCGAAGUCAAAUCAGCCGAUGUAGUUGUACAUAUCGGCUGCAGACGAAAAUCUGGGAUGUUUAUUGGCUUAAGAAAAUGAAGAGAAGGAAGAGCAAGCCAUUUAUUACCUAAGCCGACGUCUGCUAGAUACAGAAAAACGGUACUCGGCUAUAGAAAAAUUAUGUUUCGCUUUAUAUUAUGCAUAUACAAAAUUGAGAUAUUAUAUUUUGUCAACUGAAGUAUCGGUAAUAUGCAAAACCGAUUUGAUAAAAUAUAUGUUAUCUAAGCCAGUAUUACGAGGACGAAUUGGGAAAUAGAUAUUAGCUUUAUCCAAGUUUUCCCUUAAUUACGUUCCUGCCAGAGCUAUCAAAGGUCAAGCUAUAGCUGAUUUUUUGGCCGACCACCCAUGUGUAGAGAUCGAGGAGCCGAAGCAGAGUUUAAUCGGCUGCCAACCUUGGGUGUUGUACUUUAACGGUUCAAGGACAGCCGAAUCUGCAGGAGUAGGGAUAGUGAUACAAUCUCCUGAAGGUUAUGUUUGUCAAUUUGCAUUUGAGCUAGAUUUCAGGUGUUCUAACAACCAAGCUGAGUAUGAAACCUUGAUAAUCGGCCUCGAAAUAUUGCAAGAAUUGAAAGCAAAAUCAAUCAAAGUCAUCGGUGACUCACAGUUAGUAAUCAAGCAGAUUAACGGGAAAUACCAAUGUGAGAAUCCAACUUUGCAAAAUUAUUUGAAGAAGACAAUAGAAUUAUUAUGCAAUUUCGGAGAAGCCGAAUUCGAACACUUGAGCAGACAGGAAAACGAAAAGACAAACGAAUUGGCCCAAUCGGCUUCAGGAUAUAGAGAGCCGAAGUCAGAUGCAAUAGUAAUACAGAGGAGAUUGCUACCUUCAGUUCAUAUACGAGAACCGAUCAUAGCUCCUGUAGAAGUAAAAGAUGAUUGGAGGAAGUCAUUGAUCAAAUAUUUGGAGGAUCCCAAUAUAAGGGUCGAUUAUAAUAUUCGAAGAAGAGCUCUCGGCUACUGUUUGUUAGAUGGUCAACUAUACAAAAGAACAGCCGAAGAAGUUCUAUUAAAAUCUCUAGGGCCGGAAGAAGCUCUACUAGUAAUGGGAGAAACACAUGAAGAAAUAUGUGGAACCCAUCUAGCAGGAAAAAAGUUAAGAUGGACAAUUCGGCAUUUAGGAUAUUAUUGGCCGACUAUGCAUCAAGAUUGCAUAGAGUAUGCUAAAGGUUGCCAAGAAUGUUAAUUUCAUGGUUCAAUACAGAGGGUUUCUGCCUCUGAGAUGUACACCAUAAUUAAACCGUGGCCUUUCCGAGGAUGGGCUAUGGAUUUAAUCGGAGAAAUUCAGCCGAAUUCCUCGGCUGGUCACAAGUUUCUGAUAGUAGCCAUCGAUUAUUUUACUAAAUGGGUGGAAGCCAGACCUACUCGAUUGGUUACUCAAAAGGAAAUUAUUGAUUUUGUUGAAGAUCAUAUAAUUCAUCGUUUUGGAAUUCCUGAGACCGUCACAACCGACCAAGGGACAAUGUUCACGGGGAGACAGUUUGUUCGGUUCAUCGAGUCUCGAAAAAUAAAGCUGUUGCAUUCGUCUCCUUAUUAUGCUCAAGCGAAUGGGCAGGUAGAAGCAGCAAAUAAGAUAAUUAUCAACCUUAUGAAGCGACAUAUCGGAAAGUACCCGAGAAAGUGGGAUGAAAAGCUUUCCGAAGUAUUAUGGGCAUGCCGAACUUCAAUAAAAACGGCAACAGGGAUGACACCAUUCCAAUUAGUUUAUGGCCAUGAGGCCGUAAUUCCAGCUGAGAUAACAAUUCCUUCUUUGAGGAUAGAGAAACAAAAAGACCUCUCGGCUGAUGAAUAUAUUGAUCUAAUGAAAGACCAAGCAGAGGAGAUAAUAGAUACUCGGUUGAUAGCUUUAGACAAUAUGCAAGCAUACCAAAGCCGAGUACGUAGUGCAUAUAAUAAGAAAGUUCGACCGAAGACGUUUGUCGUCAGUGAUUUAGUACUUCGGCUGAUUUUUCCAAUCGAUCAAAAAGACCGAAUGUAUGGGAAGUGGUCCCUAAAUUGGGAAGGACCAUUCCAGAUUAGCCGAAUCACAAGAGAAAAUGCAUAUUAUUUGCAAAACAGGGAUGGGUCAGAAAGUGAAAAACCAAUCAACGGAAAAUAUUUAAAGAAAUAUUACCCAUCCAUGUGGGAAAAUAAUUAAAGUCAAAGGUAGAAUAUUACAAGCCGAAUCAAGUUAAUAAGUCCUUCAGUUGGUUCCAUUCGGCUAUGAGAUUGGUUUCGGCGGUUUCAGUAGCUUUCCUUCGACGCUUCAUCAGAGGAUGAACUUUGUAAAGUUGAGAGAGCACCUCUUUAAGCCUUAUCCCUUCUUCCUUUUUGGACUUCAAUUGAUUUUUUAGUUAAAGUCGGCGCUCGGAGGUUUGUGCCAGAGUAGAUUCGGCUGUUGCUAACUCUUCCUUAAGAGUGAAGAUUCGCUUCUGCAGAGCUAAUUCUUGAUCAGCUAAUUCUCGAUCCUCUUGAUGCACCUCAGUAUUCGGAGCUGCUAUAUCGGGAAUAUUUUUCUUAAAAUGAUCAACACGAUAAAAAUGUUGAUCUAAAGCUACAAGUUCGGCACCUAAAGAUUGCUGCCGAGCCAAAAAAGAUGAAAGUUGAAGUAAUAAGGUUGCCACAAAACAUUUUAUGCCGGGAGUAACAUCUGUUUGAUCGGUUAAAUCAAGUAAAAGGGCAUAUAGCCGAUCAAAUUGUUCUGGGUUUUGGGCCAAACCAGGAAUUCCGGCACCAUAUAUUUUGAGACAUUCAUCGAACUUGCUUCGGGUGUCCGAUGAAAUGAUAAUGGUUGAAGAAUCAUCCCCCUCUGUUGAACUGGUGCUUGAAAUAAAAAAGGAUUGAAGAAUUGCAGAUAAAGGAUCAUCAAAAAUAGGAGAAGAAGCUUCCUGGGUCGAGCAGGGCGGUACAGCACUUUCAUCUCCAGAAGAUCGCCCAAGAGGUAUGUUUAUUUGUUCGUCCCCUGUAGUUGGUGUUGGGACAGGAGCAGAACGAGGUGAUGCGAUCUCACUGGGUAACGGCGUCGUGCUUGCGGUUUCAACAGAUGUUUUCUUCUUUUCCAUCCCUCUCUUUUUCUCAAGACGGGCUUCCCUGCGAAGCUGCCGUUCUAUCUGCAUCUUUGAGAAAUGAGGAAAAUGAGCUCUUCCAGGAGAGGACUGUGAGCGAGUUAAAAAAAAAAAUAAUAAAUAAAAUAUAUAUAAAUAGAUGAAGAAAUAUAAAAUUUGCUUGCUGACAACUAACUUGACGUACCCCGAUAUCAAUUGUUUCGGUCGGGACACAGCUUGGUUCCGUAGCUGAGGAAGGCACAACAGUUUUCUCUAAUGGAAUAUUAGCCGAAGGCAUGUCUUCGGUUCUUGUUGUUGGAAUUGAGGCCGAAGGCACAUCUUCGGCUGUGUCUUCUAAAUGGUCAGCCGAAGGAGCACCUUCGGCUUGUCGAAAUUGUUGCUUAGCAACUGAUUUUCGCCGUUUCGAAAUCGGCAGAGGAGUAACUUGUACAGUCUCAGUCGGUCUCUUAUUUGAAGUUGGAACCGAUGAAGAAGUGGGCAUAGACUGACAAUGGAAAUAAAAUGAGUAUUACAAACAUCAAAGUAGAAAGAACAGAGGAGGAGCAGAUUAGAAAACAUUACAGAGGAAGGAGGCGGAGUUUCAGCAGCCUCUUCCGAUUUUUCGUCUGAUAUGGAUGGCUCGGUAGGGCCCUCCGAUUGAGUCUUACUCGGGAAAGAAGCUAUAAAUAAAAUAAAAAAAAAAGAACAAAUGAGUAGCAGUAAUUAUAAGCAGGAAGUCAUUUUCAAAAAGAAUAUCGUACUGAGAGGAUGACGAGUCUUGCGAUGUGCAUGCGAAAUGAUAGGAGCAAAGGUUUUCUUGAGGAAGAUAUCCCAAUUUACAGUAUAGCGAAAAUUUAAUACUCCGGUAUGGUUGGUCCUGAAGCUGACCAAUUUGAAAAAUCGCCGCAGACGGUUUCCCAUAGCCGAAAUGUAACGUAUCGAAACCCGAAAACGAUAAUCGAACUUUGAUCAAAUUGAUUUAAGUGUCGAGAGAAAUGGAUAGGUGAGUUCCAUUUUGAGUUCCAACAAGAUUGGAAGGGCAAAAAUAAGUUUAAGAAGGGUUGGAAUAGUUUUGGCAUCGAACGGCGCGAAGUAGAGUCGAAACGAUGCAAAAACAGCAUUCUGGAGCAUUGUGUACCGGUACGCCAUGAUGGCUGUACCGGUACAGCAAGCGACCCGAGUACAGGCUGCUCUCGCGUUUGGGCAGCCUGGGUGGUGUACCGGUAUGGGACCCCGUGUACCGGUACACACCCUGCGAAACCGAGAGACCAUGCUCUCGGGUUUGCUUUUGCGCAGGUCGUGUACCGGUGAUACCAAAUCGUGUACCGGUACGCGAAGCCUCUGGCAGCAGGGAUGAGUCUGCUGCAGAAUAGAAAGUUGAGGGGCCUAAAAUGCAAUUGUUACAACAUGUAAUAGAGGUAUUCCCUCCUCUCUUCACAGCACACACACCUCUCCACUCUCAUUCACAUUUCCUCUCUUUCUCUCUCUUAAACCCUAGCUCCAAGGCUUGGAGAAGAAGGAGAAGAAGGUGGAGAAGGCUUGGAGAAGUGAGUUUAGAAGGCUUUGGUGGUUCUAGGAGCUCACCUACAAGGAGGAUCUUGUUGGAGCUUGGGCUAAGGUGAGUUCUUUAGCUAUAGAACUCUAGGGUUUGGUUUUAAACCUUAGGAUUUUGGGAUUUGAUCCUCUAAUUAACCUAAAAACCCUCUAAAAGCAUUGGAACACAUGGAAACUUGAGUUCUUCAUGGUGCUCCCAUGGUGGAUCGCUAGGGAACCAAGUGGAUGCCCUAGGGAUGAGUAGAAAGGCUUUGUGAUGGUAUUAGAGAACUUCUUGGUUGAUUCUAAGCCAUUUUUAGCUUAGGAAUGAGAUCAAUCCAAGAGCAAACCAUAUAGUGCUUGGUUAGGAUUCCAAUUUGGAGCUUUUGCCCUAGGAUUUUUCGGGGACAAAUUGAACCUGUAGAAACCUAAUUGAGAGUAUUUUAAACGCGUUGAAACGCUCGGUUCGGCAAUCCGACGAGUGUACGAAGAGUUACUGACAAAAACGUCGUUUUCCGUACAGAUAGCCGCAGCACGCGGACUAGGGCUUCAAAAAUUCCGAGAAAUUCACUGAAGCAUCCUUGUAACCAUCUAAGGUGGGUAGUGCAUUCCAAGGACAUCGAAAAUCUCUCUAUGUCUAAGUGUCAUAUUUUGAGUAUAUGUGCAUUUUUGAGCAUCUUGCAUAAUAGGGUCAAUUGUGAGUUUUGCUUUAGCCUAAUGUAAAUUCAAAUGCAUGUUAAAUGUUCGUAAGAGUGUGAGAAUGAUGAUCCCUAUGUAUGCAUGAUUGUGACAAGAACCUAGAAGGGUUAGUAAACGAAAAGUGACACUUUGACAUAGAUUUAACAAGUGACAUCGACGAGUCUAGAAUCCUUAGUGAACAAGUGUGGCAUUUGGCAUGAGGACAAGAAUCUAGCACUUAGAGAACAAGUGUGGCAUGAGUUCAAGAACUUGAUAAUGUAUAUGAUAUUAGAGAUAGUAAAGAAUGCAAGAACAAGAACGAUUGAGAUGUUUUGACAUUCAACCUUAGUGUUAAGGGUCAUUGAGCAUAGUCUUCCUUAAAGUUAAGUAAUUGAUUGAACUUAGAAUCCUCAAAUGUAGGAUUGAUCGUACUCACUUUAGUCCUUGCUCGAGGUUGUGGUAGCUCCCCCUCGGGCGAUGUGCUCCGGAGUCGACAUCACUCGGUGUAGCGAGUAUCUCCCCAGAGGGUGGUCCUAUCGGGUGUAGCGAGUAUCUCCCCGAUUAUUGGGAUUUUGAGUUGGUGAGUUUUUUGAGGGCGAAACCUACGGGUUAGCCAAGAGAUUUGGUAUUGACACUAUGACCUUGCAUCCAUCAUGAGCUUUACAUUGUGUACAUCAUUUUAUAUUGUUCAGGCAUAUUAGUUACAUUUGCUAGUUGGUUACUUCCUUCCUUUCAUUCUAUUAUGCCUGAUUAGACCUAGUGGGAUAGUCGGCGUGGUUGGUUGCCGAACCCACUGGAAACUUUGUUGUAGUUCUCACACCCCUAUUUCCACAGAGCCGGGACCCAGCGAGCCGGCGGACGAUCGCGGUAAGGGCAUCGCGCCCUAGGUAGAGACCGCCGAGAUGUUUAUUUACUCUAGCUGCAUACCCCUUAUUAUCAUCUUUUGUACUUUGAUAAUGUUAGUAUUGUGAUCAUGUUAAAGGAAUGAUGUAGGAGACUUUAUUUAUGUUAAAUGAAAAAGGAUCAUAUUUUGGAGAAAUUGUGAUGUAUAAAAGAAAUGAUGCAAAGAUGUAUUAAAGUUGACUGCAUGUAUGUGAUUUGAAUUUAAUCAGGUACUUGCAUGAUGUAUAGUAGAUUCUUUCACUAUUGGCUGUUGCUUGCUGUCACGCCCCGGGGCCGAUUUUAAAAGCCUUUUAAAAACAGAGUUGCGGAAAACGUGUCAUUUUUUUUUUUUUUCCAACCUGGCCCACGUGACGUACAGACCCGUCACAAAUACAAAGUUCCUCUGUCCACUCGGGCAGAGUCUCCUUUGUAUUUGCACGGCGUACCAACUAUACAACAGGAUCUCAACCACAACCUACAUUUACCAAUCAACAACCAAAGCAUGAUAUGCAUUUCCAUACAGCUAACAAUCCUUAGAAUGAUGCAUGCCUCUAAGCACUCCUUAGGCGCUGGAUGAUGCAAUGCACAAUACAACAAUCAUUCUAUUUAAAAGUGCUCCCCACAUAGAAGCUUUUGUUUUUAAACUCUAAUUCAUUCAUUCAUAAAAACCAUUCGAAAAUCUUUUUAAAACUGUUUUCCACACGGAAACUCUAUUUUAAAAAACAGCUACCUCGAGGGGUAGAAAUCCACAAAGCGUAUAAAUCCAAUCUGAAACCAAGGAUCCAAAACCACAUAUCUGAAAACUCCAAUCUCAUGUAAUAUAAUACAUCCAUAAUCUCAUGCAUACGAGGAAAACCAACUCAUUCAAACAAUCAUAAGAUCAUCUAAUCAUGCAUAACGAAAAUCACAACAUUCAAACAUCUAACUGAACCAUUUAUUUAAAUGACUACUAAAGACGAGAAAGAAAUACAACCAGGGUGGCGAUCGCUAUACCAGACUAGCUAGAUCGUCCUCUCGUCGAGCCCAAGUACCAACUCCAAAACCGAAUCACCUGGGGGAAUGGGGGGGGGUGAGAAACCGCAACCAUGGUUUUCUCAGUGGGUACGACAGAGCCACGAAGGCAAGCCGUAAUCACCGGAAACCAAAGGAGAUAGAUAAACAAGUAUAUAUAUGUAAGCUGAUAUGAAAUAGAACUACAGUAGCUACAACAGAUAUAUAGGAAGCAAUAAAUGAACCUGCUACUGUAUAGAAAAUAAUGCAAAGAAUGCCUCAAUGUAUUGAACCAGAAACUGUACCCAAUCUGUGCCUGCUAUAUUGGUCCGCAGACCUCAAGCGCUGCCUGUCACUAACUGCACCGACCUGAUCCAUCCGCCCAACAGGACGACCCAUCCGGAUAAGUACACCUCCGAUCGGUGGCCAAACCGAUCUGGUGUCAUGAAUACCCCCAAGUGUCGUGACUAAGUCAUGCUGGUAUGCUCAAACAAAAACAAACCCGGCUAAAGCCGGUGCCUAGGCCGAAGCCAACAACGAGGGCGUACAAUGCCAAGCUGAAAUAGAAGCUAGGGCGUACAACGCCGAACUGAAAUAGAUGCUAGGGCGUACAACGCCGAACCUCGAUCAACCAGAUCGAAACACACGACAAGAGAGUCGAUGUGUUGCCUGGACCCAACGUCCACAGAGAUACUCAAAUACGAAUGCAGCCUGCUCUACAUGUCUAUCCACAACUAAACAAUGCAAUCAAGGGGUGCGAUAACCAAACGAUAACAAGCAAUGACAUGUAGAGACUAAAUACAGGAAUAGAAAAACAGGAGAAGGAAGUGAAACGCUCUCACCGACUACCAGCUCGAAGCACCCACCUGUCACUGUCGCGUCGGAACACUGGGUACGCACAAGUCGACCGGACCUAAGAAGAUCCACCAAGUCAGAAUCCAAACCACUAACCCAAAGCACGAGACUCACAAACCCCCACACAGGAUCCCCGUAAUCGGUUUUCCAAAACCGAUUACCGUAACUCACCGGAAGUCCCGAAAACCACACCUGGACGCCGUCGGGACCCACUAAGUGUCCCGAACUCACCGACUCGUGCCACGAGUCACCCGCUGCCCCAAAGCACUCCAAUUUGGAUGCCUUGGCAGCGAACACGAGGUAACACAACAAUACGAUCAUCGCCGGAUAAUCGUACGAAUCCGGAUUCCCGGAAGUGUCUAUUUCGACACCGGAACCCUCCGUCGCUCACCUAUCAUCAUCGAACCCACAAAAUGAUGAUGGUGACCAGCCAACAAGGCUCAGCGAUAAAACACGAAGCAACCAAACACCGUCGAAAAGAAUCCGAACCGAAACUGCGUUCUUUCGGCGAAUUUCGCCGAAAAACGCACCGAAAUCGACCUACCGAUUUCCGCGAAAGCUAACGGACCAUGGACAAUCAGUCCAGCGGUCAAACACACUCACACACGCUGCCCACGGUAGCCACAC
rnacentral:lncRNA from 1 species